CUUUGUAGGAAUGUGCCACAUGGAUUUCCUUCUUCCUCUGGUGGAUUGUACAGUGGGUUUAAACUGCCUCGUGUGUGGUGAUGGACCCACAAAGACCCUCUCAGACAUGGACCCUGGACCAUCCCAUCCUGACUGUUCACAGGUCAAUCUCCACUUAUUUGAACAGCAGCUCCCCAUAAAAUCCUAGUGCAGCCCUCUCUACAUGCAGGAAGCUCAGCAAAGCAGUGGAUCUCCCAGCCAGCCAGAGAAGGAUUUGAAGGCUUCUUUCAAGUGUUGAUGGUAACUCCUCUUUGUGCUGUUCCAGUAAGGAUGGUCAUUGGAAAUUCUUCUGGGAAAAACUGUCCAGAUCACCUGAAAAUCUGGGAAGAAUUCAGACAACUGGAGAACCCGGGGUGCUUUAUUCAGCUAGAAGUUGUGUGAAGAUCUAAAAUGAGGAGGAUUCCAGUAAAACCUUUAAUUGCCCCUGAAAGCCCAACCUCAUAACCACUGGGUCACCUUGCACCGAGAGCUCCUCGUGUUCCAGGGGGUCUCUUCACAGGAAAUAUUUAUGAGGUACUGAGUAUUUAAAUCGUGGAAUAUCUGGAGCUGGAAGGGACUCAUAAAGACUCUGGUCACGCACAGGACACUUCCAGUGACAGCCUGAUGGUAACACUCACUUUCUGAAAGUCUUAAAAUCAUAAAAAUAUGGGAGGAAAUAUCAAAAAAUAAACAUGUUGGAAGUCUCAGCAUAACAGGGCAUGAGAUACAGCCAGUGAGGGGAGUGUUGAUCUGAGCAAGGUUUUCAUCUCAGGAAUUCCUCAAGCUCCCUGAUAUAACACACACGGAUUCAAAGCCUCAGUGACCUUAGCACAUGAGUUCUGUUUAAAAUAAGCUUGACUAAAUCAUGUUUCCAAGCUUACCUGCAGGUGUAAAAAUCACUGGGGCAGGCAAAAUAUUUUAACUCCAGAUGUUUUCAUACCUGCAAAUCACCUUCCCUCACACCCUCAUGGGGUUUUGCAGCCCCCAGUUGCACAGGCAGGUUUUUCUGGCUCAAAUGUCACCCCUGCUUGAGAAAUGUCAGUGGAUCUGAUUCCUGUGGAAAGCACACUAUGAAAUAUUGCCUGAGCACAGAGGUGUUGCCCCAGUGAACUUACAGCCUUUUGAGUUUUUGAUGCACCACAGGACCAGCAUAAAGAUGCUCAAAAAAAAGGAUUUAACUGAACUUUACAGUCCCAGACCCUCCUAAGUCUCUCCUCCCUACCCUCUCAA